rnacentral:lncRNA from 1 species
GAUGAGAAGAAGGUUGGCGGUGCUGGAACUAACCUAUUUCACUCUGAGGGACCUGAGGGACAAAAGCAGGAGACGCCUACGGCUCGAGAAGGCGCUCACUGAAACAGGGCUCUCGAAGAGAAGGCAGAUGCUGGUGAGAACUCAGGAACGGAGUGGGACACCUAAAGGUGGGAGGACGGGUUUAAAUAGACCCUGGGAUCCGGUGCCAUAAUGAUCGUGAAUCCCCCCAGGCCGGUCCGCAUCCGACACGUGUCCCACUCCCCCUGGC